CCAUUCCUCCCCAUUAGGGAGGUGUUGGCAUAAUUUUUGAGUUGGAAGAAAUCAAAAGCUGGGGAGGGCUCUGUAUAAAAUACCAUCACACACACAAAGAAGAGGCUGACUUCUUUGCUUUCCUCAGAGAACUUACAAAUAGCUGAGGCCUAUGAAAGAUAGCUAAAGGACACGUCUUGGAAAAGCACGUUGAAGACAGAGGGAUGUAACAGGAGAAGACAGAUGGAGAAAUCUGAUGCUAGAUAGAAGCGCAGGCAGGGGGCAUGGAACAAGAGAAGCAGGGGAAAAGCAGAGGAGGAGAGAGAGAAGCUUGCUCCUACAAAGGCAGAGUCAACCAGAGGGAGAACCAGCUCUGCCUUCUUCCAAGGGAGAGAAGACUGAGCAGGUCACCAGGACUGCUUUUGAAUUCCAAACCAGCAAGGAACCUUUACUGAUUUGCUUUGGGUUCCUCAUGGGGCCUCACUCUGCAGUGCCGAGAUACUU